rnacentral:rRNA from 1 species
UGGGGGAUAUUGCACAAUGGGCGCAAGCCUGAUGCAGCGACGCCGCGUGGGGGAUGAAGGCCUUCGGGUUGUAAACUUCUUUUGCACUGAACAAGGCGCACGCUGGGGUGUGUUGAGUGUAGGGGUUGAUUAGCGCCGGCUAACUACGUGCCAGCAGCCGCGGUAAUACGUAGGGCGCGAGCGUUGUCCGGAAUUAUUGGGCGUAAAGGGCUUGUAGGUGGCUGGUUGCGUCUGUCGUGAAAGCUCAUGGCUUAACUGUGGGUUUGCGGUGGGUACGGGCUGGCUUGAGUGCAGUAGGGGAGGCUGGAAUUCCUGGUGUAGCGGUGGAAUGCGCAGAUAUCAGGAAGAAUACCGGUGGCGAAGGCGGGUCUCUUGGCUGUUACUGACUCUGAGGAGCGAAUGCAUGGGGAGCGAACAGG